rnacentral:rRNA from 1 species
UACGAAGGGGGCUAGCGUUGUUCGGAAUUACUGGGCGUAAAGCGCACGUAGGCGGAUUUGCCAGUCAGGGGUGAAAUCCCGGGGCUCAACCUCGGAACUGCCUCUGAUACAGCAAGUCUUGAGUCCGGAAGAGGUGGGUGGAAUUCCCAGUGUAGAGGUGAAAUUCGUAGAUAUUGGGAAGAACACCAGUGGCGAAGGCGGCUAACUGGUCCAGUACUGACGCUGAGGUGCGAAAGCGUGGGGAGCAAACAGG